UGCCCAGCAACUCCUAUCCCUACCUCCUCGUGGUACUGGCCGGGGUACGAGUAACCUUGGGGAAGAUCAGGUAACCAACCCCCGGUGGGAACUUUGGUCGUAUGCUGACAGGGAAUG
rfam:Aedes aegypti strain Liverpool supercont1.29 genomic scaffold, whole genome shotgun sequence.